rnacentral:rRNA from 1 species
UUGGAGGGCAAGUCUGGUGCCAGCAGCCGCGGUAAUUCCAGCUCCAAUAGCGUAUAUUAAAGUUGUUGCAGUUAAAAAGCUCGUAAUUGAACUUCGGGAUCAAUUGAUUGGUCAUGCCAUUGGUAUGUACCGGUCAUAUUGGUUCUCACCUUCUAAGGAACCAUAAUGUCAUUAAUUUGAUGUUUUGGGGAAUUAGGACUGUUACCUUGAAAAAAUUAGAGUGUUUAAAGCAGGCUAACGCUUGAAUACAUUAGCAUGGAAUAAUGAAAUAGGACAUCGCAUUCUAUUUUGUUGGUUUCUAGGAUCGAUGUAAUGAUUAAUAGGGAUAGUUGGGGGCAUUAGUAUUCAAUUGUCAGAGGUGAAAUUCUUGGAUUUAUUGAAGACUAACUACUGCGAAAGCAUUUGCCAAGGAUAUUUUCAUUAAUCAAGAACGAAAGUUAGGGGAUCGAAGACGAUCAGAUACCGUCGUAGUCUUAACCAUAAACUAUGCCGACUAGGGAUCGGAUGAUGUUGAUUUUUUAAUGACUCAUUCGGCGCCUUACGGGAAAC